UGAAGGAGGCAGAGUUGACUGGUUAUACUGGGACAGAGGGGCAGAGUGGACUGGUUAUACUGGGACCAGAGGGGCAGAGUGGACUGGUUUUACUGGGGAACAGAGAGGCCGAGUGGACUGGUUAUACUGGGACAGAGAGGCAGAGUGGACUGGUUUUACUGGGACAGAGAGGCAGAGUGGACUGGUUAAAUUAUGCUUUGAGGAUGAACGAGAAGAGGAGUUGAACCUGGAGCACAUUGUGAUGAAGGACCUCGGGACAAGACUGGCAGGAUGCCGUUCAGACAGACCCGUGUUAGAUUUGACAGUGCCAUUAGGAGUCCAGUCCCUCAGACAGACGGGGAGAGCCCCCUCACCUCCGUCCUGCUCCACCUCCUCCAGCAAUGAACCCCCUGUCAAACAGAAGGCUGAGCAGAGUCGCGGCCAGGCGCCACCACAUCCGCCCCUGGUUCCUUUGGUUUCGAUGAUACUGGAGCAACAAAUGAAGACAAAAACAUACAGGU